AGAGUUUGAUCAUGGCUCAGGACGAACGCUGGCGGCGUGCUUAACACAUGCAAGUCGAACGAUGAAGCUUCGGGGUGGAUUAGUGGCGAACGGGUGAGUAACACGUGGGCAAUCUGCUUCACUCUGGGACAAGCCCUGGAAACGGGGUCUAAUACCGGAUACGAGCCUCCAAGGCAUCUUGGAGGUUGGAAAGCUCCGGC
rnacentral:rRNA from 1 species